GUUCCUAGAUGCCAAGAAUGCUAAUAAUUUGAGGAUUAGAAGUAAUUCCCACUUACAUGGUAAAAAUUUCCAGUCAAAUCAUUAAUGCACGUGAAAGGGACACUCACUGAAAAAAUGUAUGUGGGACUGCAAGGGACUGCCAAAAAGCAUUCAGUUCUUCAAUCCAAGAAAAGCUCUUCCAUGGGCUCUCUGCAGAGGACAGGACACCAUCCUGGGAAUGGUGGGAACGUAGGACCAGUGGAACUCCACAGUUCCAGAGCUUCCUUGGUGCUCCCUGAAAUUUUCUAGUCUCCAGAUUGCUGUCUGUUGUGAUAUGUUCCUCCUGAUUGCUCCCCCAUUGUGCUGAGCAUCACCUCUCCUCCCACCAGCACCCGCAGUGGGAAGGACAAUGAUGAGCUGCAGCACUGUGGGGCACAAGAGGAUGGAGAUCUCAGUUUCUGGAGAGAUGUGGCAAAACCGAAAGACACUAGAAGGUGAUUUGUGUUGUGACACACUGAACUGUAUCUGUCCACUGCUGCGAUUACAAACAGAGGAGGCUUCUUUCUUCACAAGCGCCCAUGUUACCCUUGAGGUGAUCUGUAUGAUCCAUCCUACACCAUGUGUUAAAACGUGCAUGUUCGAGAAACAAAUGCCAGUCUUACUGAGGCAUUAGUCUCAGUUGCAUU